rnacentral:tRNA from 1 species
GCCUGGGUGGCUUAGUCAGUUAAGCAUCUGACUUCGGCUCAGGUCAUGAUCUCACGGUCUGUGAGUUCGAGCCCCGCAUCGGGCU